rnacentral:lncRNA from 1 species
AGGCCCACAGGGACUCCGGCUGCAGUGCUGACCGAGAUGGCCCCUCCCUAAAGGAGCCUGUCUCUGCAUACUUCUAGCUCCUAGAACCACUGGCAGCCUCUGACUUAUGAUCUCACCCCUCGUUCCAAGGCCGGCGCUCUGGCUGUAUCUCUUUUCCUCCAGAGCCUCUGAGUCUCUCUUCCCAACCUGCUCCACAAGACCAGUUAUCCAUGACAACCUCCAGUCCUUUUCUUGGCAAUGACCACAGUCGGUAAGGGCCGCAAGAUCUCAGUCGGCCAUGACCACAAGACCACGGUCACCAAGUGCCACAGGAUCUCGCUUGGCAAUGACCACAGGACCAUAGUCACCAAUGACCUCAGGACUACGGUUGGCAAUGACCACAGGAACAUGGUCACCAAGGGCCACACGACCUCGGUCGGCAAUGACCACAGGACCAUUGUCACUGACGGCCUCAGGGCCACAGUUGGCAAUGACUACAUAGUCAUUGUUCCCCGAUGACUACAGGACCACAGUUGGCAAUGGCUACAGGAUCACUGUCUACAAUGACAACAGUCAACAAUGACCACAAAACCACAGUCAACAAUGACCACAGAACCACAAUCAGUAGUGGAAACCUGAAGUCCUUUUCUGCUAUGUAAAGAAGCAAGCAUGGAUUCUAGCAUUGAGGUAGGACAUCUGUAGUGGCCACUGUUCUUCUGAAUGUUCCCUGGGUUCUCCUCUUUUUCUUUUCAGACUUGUCACCUCCAGGAGCCUAAUGGGACAGAAGGACAAAAUAGGCUGUAUUGUUAUCUUUCUUGCUAUUCUUCUGCAAGGUGGCACUGUGUCCAAAGUUUAUCUGUCAUCCUGGAAGUACCUAGCUAAAGCUGCCUACAUUCCCCAGAUGGGAACUAAGGAAGGCACAAAAUCAGAUAGCAGGACAUGAAAUGCACAGAAAUCUUCCCAUCCUGGUCCUCACCUGGUCACUGUGACCCUAUAUGUGUAUCAUUUUUAGGUUGUUCUCAUCCAAAUCCAAGAGCCACCCUUCCUCAGAGGGUACAAGAGCAUUUCAAAAAGAACUGAAUAAAGGCCCUGGACAGGAGGGAAGUAGCCUCAACUCCUAGCCCGCCCUUGGCA